GAUGAACGCUAGCGGCAGGCUUAACACAUGCAAGUCGAGGGGUAACAUGGUCUUCGGACUGAUGACGACCGGCAAACGGGUGCGGAACACGUACACAACAUACCCUUUACUGGGGGAUAGCCCGAAGAAAUUCGGAUUAAUGCCCCAUAGUAUACUAAAGAGGCAUCUCUUAAGUAUUAAAAUUUAUUGGUAGAGGAUUGGUGUGCGUCCCAUUAGAUAGUUGGCGGGGUAACGGCCCACCAAGUCGACGAUGGGUAGCUGGUGUGAGAGCACGACCAGCCACACGGGCACUGAGACACGGGCCCGACUCCUACGGGAGCAGCAGUGAGGAAUAUUGGUCAAUGGACGGAAGUCUGAACCAGCCAUGCCGCGUGGAGGAUUAAGGCCCUCUGGGUUGUAAACUUUCUUUUAUUAGGGAAGAAAAGCACGGUUUCUACUGUGUCCGACGGUACCUAAUGAAUAAGCACCGGCUAACUCCGUGCCAGCAGCCGCGGUAA
rnacentral:rRNA from 1 species